AAGCAUACAGCGAUUGAAGCUAGUAAUAGUGUGCCAAAUCAAAGCGAGGGUUGGGUAGUGAGAGCAAUCCAUUUAAGCACUAUGAAUUUCACUUCAGGAGUAGAAUCUAAUCCAUUCCGGCUAUCACCGUUAUCUGAUGUACUUAAGUGUAUUAGACUUUGUGUCUGAUAAAACAGGGUGGUACCGCGAUGUCAAAAGCCUCGUCCCUUUU
rnacentral:ncRNA from 1 species